rnacentral:rRNA from 1 species
UACAGAGGGUGCAAGCGUUAAUCGGAUUUACUGGGCGUAAAGGGCGCGUAGGCGGUUAUGUGAGUGUGAUGUGAAAGCCCCGGGCUUAACCUGGGAAGUGCAUCGCAAACGACAUAACUGGAGUAGGUGAGAGGGUGGCGGAAUUCCCGGUGUAGCAGUGAAAUGCGUAGAGAUCGGGAGGAACAUCUGUGGCGAAGGCGGCUCUCUGGACGGUGACUGACGCUGAGACGCGAAAGCGUGGGGAGCAAACAGG